GGAAGGGAUGUAGUUCAGUGGCAGAGCACCUGCCUUGCAUGCAGAAAGUCUCAGGUUCAAUGUCUGGCCUCUCCA